GUAUUGCUGAAGAGCCCCACAAUAGGACGAAACGGCCGUUCAAUGC
rnacentral:hammerhead_ribozyme from 1 species